AAUGAACGUUGGCGGCGUGGAUUAGGCAUGCAAGUCGUGCGAGAAGUCUUUUGCUUGCAUUAGACGGAAAGCGGCGAAAGGGAGAGUAACGCGUGGGUACCUACCUCUAGGUUCGGGAUAGCUGCGGGAAACUGUGGGUAAUACCGAAUAACAUCUCCGGAUCAAAGGUGUGAUUCCGCCUGGAGACGGGCCCGAGUCGUAUUAGUUUGUUGGUGGGGUAAUGGCUUACCAAGGCAAUGAUGGGUAUCGGGCGUGAGAGCGCGACCCGACUCACUGGGACUGAGACACUGCCCAGACACCUACGGGUGGCUGCAGUCGAGAAUCUUCGGCAAUGGGCGCAAGCCUGACCGAGCGACGCCGCGUGCGGGAUGAAGGCCCUCGGGUUGUAAACCGCUGUCAGUUGGGAGGAAAUCACAUGGGGUUCUCUCCAUGUGUUGACCUAUCUUCAGAGGAAGGACGGGCUAAGUUCGUGCCAGCCGCCGCCGUAACAC
rnacentral:rRNA from 1 species